GCCGGGGUGGGGAGAAUGUGCUGGAUUACCCACCCACGAGCCAGGAGUCGGGGUGGGAGGAAUCAGCCUUCCUCCAGGACGGCGCAGCCCACCGGGCGCCUGCUAAGUGCCCAGCACUGACCUCACCUUUAGAAAAGAAAUCUACCUAUGCCACGAUGCGGAGCAUACUAAUAAGCCCAGGGAAGAAGAGUCAGACCCAGUGCCAGCGCAGGGGAAACGCAUCUAAUCCAGAACAGCAGACACAGCUCCUCUCCCAUGGAACACCCAGAGCAGACAUUGCCAGUCGAUCCCAGCACCCUUUCCCCGGGAGCCUGGGCUCAGCCUCAAGACUUUGCUUCCGCUUCACAAAGCUCUGCACAGCCAGUUCUCAUC
rnacentral:lncRNA from 1 species